rfam:Pteropus alecto contig31324, whole genome shotgun sequence.
GGUUCCAUAGUGUAGCAGUUAGCAUGUCUGCUUUACAUGCAGAAGGUCCUGGGUUCAUGCCCCAGUGGAGCCA